rnacentral:rRNA from 1 species
GACGAACGCUGGCGGCGUGCCUAAUACAUGCAAGUAGAACGCUGAAGGAGGAGCUUGCUUCUCUGGAUGAGUUGCGAACGGGUGAGUAACGCGUAGGUAACCUGCCUGGUAGCGGGGGAUAACUAUUGGAAACGCUAGCUAAUACCGCAUAAGAGUAGAUGUUGCAUGACAUUUGCUUAAAAGGUGCAAUUGCAUCACUACCAGAUGGACCUGCGUUGUUUUGGCUAGUUGGUGGGGUAACGGCCCACCAAGGCGUCGAUACAUAGCCGACGCGAGAGGGUGGGCGGCCACCCUGGGACUGGGACACGGCCACGACGCCCACGGGAAGCAGCAGUAGGGAAUCAUCAGCAAUCGACGGAAGUCUGACCACGCAAAGCCGCGUGAGUAAAGAGGGUUUUCGGAUCGUAAAGCUCGGCUGUAGGAGAAUAACGAGCGUGCGAGUGGGAAGAUCACAGAGUGACGGUAUCUUACCAGAAAGGAACGGCUAACUACGUG